CUCCCAGCUCCUGAGGAGACACACCAGACAAAAGCUGUGCCCACACUCGGUGGUCACUGGGCUGCUGAAAUAGUCUAAGCAGAUGAAACAGAUGAAAGCACAGAAGAAGUAUGGAAUUUCAUGACUGUGACACUAAAAGCAUGGUCAAAAAAAGCAACAACAGACAAAGGGAACUACAUCAAGCCAAAAAGCUCCUGCACAGCAGAGGAAACGAUCGACAGCGUGAAGAUGCAUAUUCUGCGGAACGAAAGAAAAUGCAGUGGCCCCUCAGCGUCUGCAGGAGACUCA
rnacentral:lncRNA from 1 species